UACGAAGGGAGCUAGCGUUGUUCGGAAUCACUGGGCGUAAAGCGCACGUAGGCGGAUUUGCCAGUCAGGGGUGAAAUCCCGGGGCUCAACCUCGGAACUGCCUUUGAUACAGCAAGUCUUGAGUUCGAGAGAGGUGGGUGGAAUUCCUAGUGUAGAGGUGAAAUUCGUAGAUAUUAGGAAGAACACCGGUGGCGAAGGCGGCCCACUGGCUCGACACUGACGCUGAGGUGCGAAAGCGUGGAGAGCAAACAGG
rnacentral:rRNA from 1 species